rnacentral:rRNA from 1 species
AUACGGAGGGGGCUAGCGUUGUUCGGAAUUACUGGGCGUAAAGCGCGCGUAGGCGGUUUAUCAAGUUAGGCGUGAAAGGCCUGGGCUCAACCCGGGAAUUGCGCUUAAUACUGGUAGACUUGAGUCCGGGAGAGGGUGGCGGAAUUCCCAGUGUAGAGGUGAAAUUCGUAGAUAUUGGGAAGAACACCAGUGGCGAAGGCGGCUCUCUGGCCCGGUUCUGACGCUGAGGUGCGAAAGCGUGGGGAGCAAACAGGAUUAGAUACCCCGGUAGUCC